UACGUAGGGUGCAAGCGUUAUCCGGAUUUAUUGGGCGUAAAGCGCUCGUAGGUGGUUUCUUAAGUCUGAUAUGAAAGAUCUGGGCUCAACCCAGGGAACGUAUCGGAAACUGGGUGACUAGAGGUAUGCAGGGGCAGAUGGAACACAGGGUGUAGCAGUGAAAUGCGUAGAUAUCUUGCGGAACGCCAAUGGUGAAGACAGUCUGCUGGGCAUUACCUGACACUGAGGAGCGAAAGCGUGGGGAGCGAAC
rnacentral:rRNA from 1 species